rnacentral:rRNA from 1 species
UACGUAGGGUGCAAGCGUUGUCCGGAAUUAUUGGGCGUAAAGAGCGUGUAGGCGGCCCGGUUAGUCCGCUGUGAAAGUCCAGGGCUCAACCCUGGAAUGCCGGUGGAUACUGUCGGGCUAGAGUCCGGAAGGGGCGAGUGGAAUUCCUGGUGUAGCAGUGAAAUGCGCAGAUAUCAGGAGGAACACCGAUGGCGAAGGCAGGUCUCUGGGCCAUAACUGACGCUGAGAAGCGAAAGCAUGGGGAGCGAACAGG